rnacentral:tRNA from 1 species
CAGAGGUAGUUUAUAAAAAUAUAGGCUUUGGGUGCCUAAGAUGUUAGUUUAUCUAAUCCUUUGA